rnacentral:misc_RNA from 1 species
AAGACUAUAGACCUGCGGAGUACCUGCGGAAGGAUCAUUAACGUAUCUAUGAUGGGGUGCGGAGCGCCCUGCUCCGGUCGAACGGCCGUGCAGCGGGUGCGCCGCCCCCGUCCCACCUCACAAACCCACUGCGAACAUUCACCGGUGGAGGGGGCUCGGUCUGCGCCGUGUCCCCGAUGCCGAAUACCCAAACUCCAGUUGCAAAGAACGUCGUGCGGACUCGGUGCCGCCUAAAACAUG